rnacentral:rRNA from 1 species
GACGAACGCUGGCGGCGUGCUUAACACAUGCAAGUCGAACGAAGAGCGAUGGAAGCUUGCUUCUAUCAAUCUUAGUGGCGAACGGGUGAGUAACGCGUAAUCAACCUGCCCUUCAGAGGGGGACAACAGUUGGAAACGACCGCUAAUACCGCAUAACAUUGCCGAACGGCAUCGUUUGGCAAUCAAAGGAGCAAUCCGCUGAAAGAUGGGCUCGCGUCUGAUUAGAUAGUUGGUGAGGUAACGGCUCACCAAGUCGACGAUCAGUAGCCGGACUGAGAGGUUGAUCGGCCACAUUGGGACUGAGACACGGCCCAGACUCCUACGGGAGGCAGCAGUGGGGGAUAUUGGACAAUGGGGGAAACCCUGAUCCAGCGAUGCCGCGUGAGGGAAGAAGGUUUUCGGAUUGUAAACCUCUGUGGACAGGGACGAUAAUGACGGUACCUGUUUAGAAAGCCAACGGCUAACUACGUGCCAGCAGCCGCGGU